UACGUAGGUGACAAGCGUUAUCCGGAUUUAUUGGGCGUAAAGCGCACGCAGGCGGCUGAUUAAGUCUGACGUGAAAUCUCUCGGCUUAACCGGGAGCGGUCGUUGGAAACUAAUUGGCUUGAGGCGAUGAGAGGGGUGUGGAAUUCCCGGUGUAGUGGUGAAUGCGUAGAUAUCGGGAGGAACACCAGUGGCGAAAGGCGGACAUCCCUGGCCUUG
rnacentral:rRNA from 1 species